rnacentral:misc_RNA from 1 species
AAAAUGCGAUACGCAAUGCGAAUUGCAGAAUUCCGCGAAUCAUCAGAUUCUUGAACGCAACUGGCGCUGGAGGGAUAUCCUUCCAGCAUGCCUGUUUCAGUGUCUGAAAACAUCCACAACUAUCAUAAUGUGUUUGACGAGUUCAAUCGUGCCUCACCGCUCGCAUCGAAUGAGUCUUACAUUAAAGAUGUAUGCGUGGGUCUUCGGGUCCCAUCGAAUUGGUCACUGACACUUCAGUGAUUUCGAUCGUGGAUAAUUACAAACUGAAGAUUUCCCAAAUGCGCAUAGAACCACAACCAAACUACAACAUCUGCAUCUGAAAUCAGGCAAGAACACCCGCUGAACUUAA